CCGUUCGUAUCUGAUUCGUUUUCAUCCCUAGUGAUAAUAGAUAAAAAAAAUAUGUUCCUAAAAAGUUAGUUUUGGCGCCUAAGCUACAUAAUAUCUAAACUAUUUCACAUUUUACCUUUUUCUAAAUCAUUGUUUUUAUUAUAUAUUAAGGCAUAUAAGUUAUCUAUCUAGAAAAGUUAAAAUGUUUUAUAAUUUGCAAUGAAUGGAGUUUUGAUUUCUUCUCUCUUUUCAAAUCUCUAGCCACACGUGCUGAAUGUGUCACAUGGCACUGACCAUGGAAUCAUUGAGGUCAGCCGGGGUUUAGUGUUGAAAGUCAGUCAAGGCCGUGGGGCUAGGAUCUCCACUGUUUGUGCCCUGGUUGAUUCUCACUGCUCUAUUAUGGUCAAACAACGCGGCGGCACCGGAUUAUUAUUCCUCCUUUUCGUUGAUGGCAACUGCAUGCGAACGCACCGAAUCCAUUCAUAUGCAACUUGAUCCGGCAGGCGGCAGCGGAUCCUUGUUUGUGACCGGAUCCUCGACCUUAUCUUGGCAGUUCCUCCGUCCUGCCCUGCAGCGAUCAACCACAAGUGCACGAAGAUAUUUUUUUCUCUGUACACCACGGAUGACCACACGAAUAGCAGAUAUCAACACAGGAGUACAGGACACGCUCCAAUCAGCCAAAUCAGGCUCGGAGACUGCUGAUUGCUGAACCCUGAAGACCAACCCCCUAACGAAAUGCGGGCUGCUGAUACCUGAAAACCCAUCCUAACGAACAGUGAUGGUUCUGAUCUUCACAACCGAACAUGGCUAAGUAACUGCACAGAAUAAGUAUGAUGAAAUCACCAUCCCAUCAGCCAAACUGGGUUACAUGGCGUUUGCUUGCCUAAAAAGUUAUGGCUAAAAAGUUAUGGCUGAAAAUAUUGUUCAGUAAUUUAUGAUUUAUUGUGAGAAAAAACACUAAACAGAAAAAAAAAAUAGCUUAUAAGACAAACGAAUUGAGGCCAGAUAUCCCCUCUGCCAAACUGAGCCGCACCGAGUAGCAACGGCAACAAUGGUAUGUACAUCCAACAAAACGGUGUGAAACAAAAGAGGCGGCGCCGCGGCCUCAGGA
rnacentral:lncRNA from 1 species